rnacentral:rRNA from 1 species
GUUGGCGAGGUAACGGCCCACCAAGGCGACGAUCGGUAGCCGACCUGAGAGGGUGAUCGGCCACAUUGGAACUGAGAGACGGUCCAAACUCCUACGGGAGGCAGCAGUGGGGAAUAUUGGGCAAUGGGCGAAAGCCUGACCCAGCAACGCCGCGUGAGGGAAGAAGGUUUUCGGAUUGUAAACCUCUGUCCUUGGGGACGAAGGAAGUGACGGUACCCAAGGAGGAAGCCCCGGCUAACUACGUGCCAGCAGCCGCGGUAAUACGUAGGGGGCGAGCGUUGUCCGGAAUGACUGGGCGUAAAGGGCGCGUAGGCGGCCUUAUAAGUCUGGAGUGAAAGUCCUGCUUUCAAGGUGGGAAUUGCUUUGGAGACUGUAGGGCUUGAGUGCAGAAGAGGUAAGUGGAAUUCCCAGUGUAGCGGUGAAAUGCGUAGAGAUUGGGAGGAACACCAGUGGCGAAGGCGACUUACUGGGCUGUAACUGACGCUGAGGCGCGAAAGCGUGGGGAGCGAACAGGAUUAGAUACCCUGGUAGUCCACGCGGUAAACGAUGAAUGCUAGGUGUUGCGGGUAUCGACCCCUGCAGUGCCGCAGUAAACACAAUAA